CAGUAGGUUCCUUGUUGCUACUUGUCUCUGCUGAGAUGGCCACAGGGUUAGCUGCUUCUCCAAUUGCACAAGACUAGGGCAGGUGGCCCGGAGCUCCUGGGGCCAGCCUUACCUUCAGGAUCAUUCCUCCCUUUGCCCACAGCCUGAGGCCAGGUCAGAAGGUGACUCCAGCUCCUCCCUGGAGAGUAAUUGGGGCUCUGAUCUUAAAUUGAACACCCUGCCUGUCCAUGGGGCUGUCUAGCUAGUCUCAACUCCUCAAGAGCAGGCACUGAGCUCACCUCUACUCUGUCAAACGAGGAGCCACCAAACCUACCCUGGCCAAUUCAAAGAGCCUGGCUAAUUCUGGGGCAUCCUGAAGCCAUGGGACCUGGCUAGGAUCACCUUCCUGCCUUACAUCCCUCAGCAAUGAUAGCAUCCAGCUGGACCACCUCUUCUCUGGGAUCAGAGAACCACUUCUAGAUUCCUCUGGCCACUUCAACCAUGUCCUGGACCAGGCUGUGGUGGCUUCUGGUACAUCGAGUGCAUGGCCUCUGUCCUGGCCUCCGCAGAAGUCUCCCAGAGCACACAGCCAGGCACAGAGCCUACUUCCCAGAGCACACAGCCAGGCUCAAAGGCCAACCUGCUGUUUUAGAGCCAGCCUGAAACAUAUGAGGAGAAGGGAUUGGGCCCAACCGAGCAGCAGAGAGGGAAGUGGAUCUUGGCUGGACCUUCAGGUGGGAUGUGUGGGAGGGUAAUCUACAGUUGGACUGGACUGUGCAGGUAGGUGCAGGACCAUCUGCUGAGUGCCAAGGCAAACAUCACCCCACAUGCUAGGGUGGCCUUCACCUUAGAGGGAGAAGAUGGAGUAGCAGCCUGUGUUCCGGCAAGGUGGCCAACUUUCAGGUCCUGUUGCUCAUCUACAAGAUGGACUUAAUAAAGCCAGACUUGUUCUAUGCAGUCUCUGCAGCCAUUUCCACAGAGGGCUUGGCCAAAGGCCUGCGUGCCAGCAUGCUGCCAACAGAGACAUUUCUUUACACCCCGUGUGUUGCCCAACAAGACCUGAGCCAUCUUCUGUUGGUUCCUUUCCAUGUUCUUCAUCCUUGGAUGAGGAAGAACCUAGAGGCGUUUUGCACAAGGCAUGCCUUGCCCUGAAGUGGAGCACCUCACAGAGCACAAAGCAAGCAUUGUGGCCUCCUAUAGACCCGCCCCUCCACACACUUGAUCCUGUGAAAAGCCUGUGAUCCCAAAUGGGAAUUGCAGUCUUGCUGAUAUCACGUCAGGACUUCAGUAGUUCUCUCUGGGAAUCAAGGAUGCACUAGCCACUGAGGGUGGCACUUGGGCCACCCUCAAAGUCCCUACCCAAAAAGGUCCAUGGGAGAAAGAGAAAGGGAUAAGAAAAUGGCCUCUAGCUCAGACAGAUGGCCAAAAGGCUGUGUGUGCUGCAUCGUUUACCUGUGGUAU